GUUAUCUGCCGUAUAGGCAGUUUAGAAA
rfam:Dialister invisus CAG:218 genomic scaffold, scf43